rnacentral:rRNA from 1 species
UGAGCGGAGAUAUAUGGAGCUUGCUUUAUAUAACUUAGCAGCGAACGGGUGAGUAACACGUAGAUAAUCUAUCCUAUACUGGGGGAUAGCCCGAUGAAAGUUGGAUUAAUACCGCAUAUAGCUAUAUAGUUGCAUGAUUAUGUAGUGAAAGAUUUAUUGGUAUAGGAGGAGUCUGCGGCACAUUAGCUAGUAGGUGAGGUAAAGGCUUACCUAGGCGACGAUGUGUAGCCGGUCUGAGAGGAUGAACGGCCACAAUGGAACUGAGACACGGUCCAUACUCCUACGGGAGGCAGCAGUGGGGAAUAUUGCACAAUGGGGGAAACCCUGAUGCAGCAACGCCGCGUGAGUGAAGAAGGUUUUCGGAUUGUAAAGCUCUGUUAGCAGGGAAGAGGAAGGACGGUACCUGCAGAGGAAGCCACGGCUAACUACGUGCCAGCAGCCGCGGUAAUACGUAGGUGGCAAGCGUUGUUCGGAAUAACUGGGCGUAAAGGAUGCGUAGGCGGUUAAACAAGUUAUAUGUUAAAUAUAUAGGCUUAACCUGUAGAAAGCAUAUAAAACUGUUUAACUAGAGUGCAGGAGAGGUAAGUGGAAUUCCUAGUGUAGCGGUGAAAUGCGUAGAGAUUAGGAAGAACACCAGUGGCGAAGGCGACUUACUGGACUGUAACUGACGCUGAGGCAUGAGAGCAUGGGGAGCAAACAGGAUUAGAUACCCUGGUAGUCCAUGCUGUAAACGAUGGGUACUAGGUGUGGG